CCGUCAAACACUGGGGAUUACAAUUUGACUCAAGGUUUGGGUGGUGACACAAAUCCAAACCAUUUCAACUUCAUAUUUUAGGAUGUUAAAAGGGGAGCCUUCAUAGAGUGUUUUAGUUUCCUAUUGCUAUGGUAACAAAUUACCACAAAGUUACUGGCUUAGGAAAAUACAAAUUAAUUAUCUUCUAGUUCUGGAGGUCAGAUAUCCAAAAUGAGUCUUGCAGAGUUUAUUAUUUUUCUAGGGCUGCCAUGAAGCAAGUACAAACUGGGUGGCUUAAACAUCAGAAAUUUAUUGUCUCGCAGUUCUGGAGGCUAAAAUCUGAGAUAAAGGUGUCAGCAGGAUUGGUGUGAAGAAUAAUCUGUCUCAUACCUUUCCACUAGUUUCUCAUGGUUUGCUGGCAAUCUUUGGCAUACCUUAGUUUGCAGAAGCAUCACCACAAUCUCUGCUUUCACCUUCACGUGAUGCUCUUCCUGUGUUUAUGUCUGUGUCCAAUUUUCACUUCUUUAUCAGGACACCGGUCAUAUUAAAUUAGGUCCUGCCCUAAUGACCUCAUUUUAACUUGGUUAUCUCUAUUAAAGACCCUAACUCCAGAUAAGAUAACAUUCUGAGGUACUGGGGGUUAGGACUCCCACAUACUUUUUUUUUGGAGGGGACACAAUUCGAUUCAUAACAUAGGGGGUUAAAAUCAAGGUGAUGUCAAGAUUGCAUUCCUUCCGGAUACUCUAGGGGAGAAUCUGUUCUUUGAUCUUGCCACCUCUAGAACCCACAUUCCUGGGCUCAUGGCCCCUCCCAGCAAUGACACCACUCCCACCUCUCCUUCCUUUUGCUCAUCUUGUCUAACUCUCACUCUCUUGCCUCCCUCGAAUAAGAACCUUUGUUAUUAUACCUGGAGAGUCAAAGAUAAUCUCCCACCUCAAGAUCCUUAACUUAGUCACAUCUGCAAAGACUCUUUUACCACAUAAGGCAACAUAUUCACAGGUUCUGGGGAUUGUGGGUUAGGGAUUAGGGGAUCAAGACAUCUUUGAGGAAUCAUUACUCUGCCCACCUCAGAGGGUUUUGAGCAGAGGAGUGAUAUAAUCUGCAUUGUAUUUUAGAAAAAUCUCUGUACCUGCUGGGUGGAAGGGAAGAGUUUGAAGAAGCAGACCCAGUAGAAGACUGUAGCAGUGGUUCCGGUGGAAGAAGAUGGUGCCCUGGACAAGAGUGGUUGGGGUGCAGAUGCAGAGAAGUUGUCAGAUUCUGGAUGUAUUGUGAAGAUUGACUUGCCCAUGGACUGCAUGAGACAGGUUCACUGGAGCACUGUAAAUUAGACUGACAAAAGACAGAUUAUUGGGAGAAAAAAAUACAAAGAAGCUAAUAGGCCGAAGAGCUUAUAUACCAUUUUAAACAAAGAAUGAUAAACUGUGGAGACUUGACAGGAAAGAAAAAAGGGUUUGAGGCUUUCCAGAGCAGUCCACUACGGGAAGAUCUCACUCUGGACGAUUAAACACCAAUAUCACCAACCUGAGUAGGCCUUCCAGGAAAUACCGGGGACACUAAGAAGCCACACCCACUGAACCAUUCUAUGGUAACUCAGCAUUUGAAGCAAAUUGGAAAGGUGAAAAAGCUCGAUAAGUGGGUGCUUCAUGAGCUGACCGAAAGUAAAAAAAAAAAAUUGUCGUUUUGAAGUGUCAUCUUCUCUUACUCUAUGCAACAACAAUGAACCACUUCUUGAUUGGAUUGUGAUGUGCGAGGAAAAGUGGAUUUUAUGUAACAACUGGUGAUGACCAGCUCAGUGGUUGGACCAAGAAGAAGCUCCAAAGCACUUCCCAAAGCCAAACUUGCAUCAAAAAAGGUCAUGGUCACUGCGUGGUGGUCUGCUGCCAGUCUGAUCCACUACAGCUUUCCGAAUCCCUGGGAAACCAUUACGGCUGAGAAGUAUGCUCAGCAAACCAAUGAGAUGCACGGAAAACUGCAGUGCCUGCAGCCGGCAUUGGUCAACAGGAAGGGCCCAAUUCUUCUCCACUGCAAUGUCCGACUGCACAUCACAACCAAAGCUUCAGAAGUUGAACAAAUUGGGCUACGAAGUCUUGCCUCAUCUCCCAUAUUCACCUGACCACUUGCCAGCCGACUACCACUUCUUCAAGCAUCUCGACAACUUUUUGCAGGGAAAAUGCUUCCACAACCAGCAGGAUGCAGAAAAUGCUUUCCAAAAGUUUGUCGAAUCCCAAAGCAUGGAUUUUUAUGCUA